rnacentral:rRNA from 1 species
GCUCAGUAACACGUGGAUAACCUACCCUUAGGACCGGGAUAACCUUGGGAAACUGAGGAUAAUACUGGAUAGGCAAUUAUUCCUGCAAUGGUUUUUUGUUUAAAUGUUUUUUCGCCUAAGGAUGGGUCUGCGGCCGAUUAGGUAGUUGGUUAGGUAAUGGCUUACCAAGCCAUUGAUCGGUACGGGUUGUGAGAGCAAGAGCCCGGAGAUGGAACCUGAGACAAGGUUCCAGGCCCUACGGGGUGCAGCAGGCGCGAAACCUCCGCAAUGUGAGAAAUCGCGACGGGGGGAUUCCAAGUGCCAUUCUUAACGGGAUGGCUUUUCAUUAGUGUAAAGAGCUUUUGGAAUAAGGGCUGGGCAAGACCGGUGCCAGCCGCCGCGGUAACACCGGCAGCUCUAGUGGUAGCAGUUUUUAUUGGGCCUAAAGUGUCCGUAGCCGGUUUAAUAAGUCUCUGGUGAAAUCCUGUAGCUUAACUGUGGGAAUUGCUGGAGAUACUAUUAGACUUGAGAUCGGGAGAGGUUAGAGGUACUCCCAGGGUAGAGGUGAAAUUCUGUAAUCCUGGGAGGACCGCCUGUUGCGAAGGCUUCUAACUGGAACGGUUCUGACGGUGAGGGACGAAAGUUAGGGGCGCGAACCGGAUUAGAUACCCGGGUAGUCCUAACUGUAAACGAUGCGGACUUGGUGUUGGGGUGGCUUUGAGCUGCUCCAGUGCCGAAGGAAGCUGUUAAGUCCGCCGCCUGGAAGUACGGUCGCAAGACUGAAACUUAAAGGAAUUGGCGGGGGAGCAC